GAGAUGCUUCUCCCCCCCCCCCCCUCCCCACCUCCAGCUCCCGACCGGGUCCGUGAACCUCGCCGGUAAAGAUGUACGAAGAAGAAUUCUGAGUAGGUUAAAAAGCCUCUUUUUCAAUCAAUGCUCAGGGAAAGGAUAAGAUGAUGUGACACAAAUGUAUGAUCGUGUGCCACAAAUAGAACAUUGUGGGAAGCUUUCCCUUAAACAUAUGCUUUGUCCUAUAUUUUUUCAAACAGUUUAUUUCCUUGCUGUGUAGGUCAUUCUUAACAUUAGGCUAAAUUUAGCCAAAGUACACCAGCAGCAAAGACAGCCUGUCUCAGAAAGCUGAAUUAGACCCACAGCUUCAGCUGCAUGGCCUGGUCAGGAGGCUGGACGUGAAAUUACUUACAUUUUUAUCUGGUUUUUUUUUCUUUUUUAUUUUCCAAGGAAUUAAAGGUAACAAAACCUCAGGCAUUUAAGAAAAAAAAAAUGGUUUCUAGAAAAUUAAAAGUUUACAGGAUAGUUUGCCUGGUAUUUUCUCAUGCUGCAACCCGUGUAUACAGCUUGCAUUCAUUUCAAGGGUAUUUUUACCACAAAGUGAGGGAAGACUACAGCCCUAACAUCUUUAGGUGUUUUGAAGAUCUGUACCUGCAGCUUCAAAACAGUGGUCUAAUCUCCGCUUCCAGUAAGGACAGCAGAAUUUGUGCUUGUUUAUGCACUUUGAUUUUCAGUUCUUUGUGUAUAAUUUUAGCUGUGGGUGGAGUAUCCUGAGCCAGAUUUCUCCCUAUGUGCUAUACAUACAGAAUGACAGAAAGACAUACACGAUUCUGUGCUAGAUUGACAGUGAAUUACAUUUGCUAGCAAAUACUGGAUCAGAGCCAUCUGUUUCAGAAAUUAGCAUAGCAGGGAUUUGUUUGUUUGGCUUCAUCUGUCUAUUAGUUUGGUCAAAAUCCUCUUGUUUUAGAGACACACUAUCACAGAGAGGACCUGUGAUAUACUUUGUGCAGGCAGCCCCUGAAAUACAUAAAUUACACUGAAAAGUGGAGAUAAAAUGUGAUUGUCAGAAAUCCAGAGAAGGCUAAAUUCAGAUAUUUCUUUUUUUCCUGAAUGCAAGUUUGAUGUCCUCAGUGCAUGCUGUGUUAAAGAUCAUCUACCCCGAAACAGUGUGCUGAUAGAGAACUACUUCUUGCUGUACCAAAGUAGUGUUGCUGAACUUGUAGGUGCACUGUAUCUGUGUGUUGAGAGAAUUGCAGGAAUCCCUCUUGACUUACAGCCUCUACAGCUUUCCUUUGAAGAGGUAUUGAUAUUUCUAAAAAUUGAGAAGUCUAGCUCCAAACAACAGUGAAGAAAAGGGCAUCAAGCCAUUAAAUGAUAAGUAUCUCUUCUGUAAAAUAUCAAAUAGAAAACCAUCUGGAUCCAGAAGAGAAAGGUUUCAUGGUACAACAAAAUUCUUAUCCACUUUCACAUGGGUACGUGUGCAAGGAAGGAAAAAUAUUUGCAGAAGUACAUCAUUCCACCAGUGCAAAGAAGAUAAGCAAGAAGAGAGUGAAUAAAGCAGAAUUUUCUUUGUUACAGAGACUGCAUUUGAAGGGAUUGUAACAGCAGGUACAGCGCUGCCAAGUAGAUACAACCCUGGAUGUGCUGUAGAAGGUGGAGGCUUUCCCAAGGGUAACCUGGAGGAAUCUGGAGGGGUCAGGUGAACCCACGCUGUCACCCAUUGAAGAAGCUCUGAGGAAACUCUGCAAGAUGGAUUGGUCACUGAAUUUGUAGCUACAUGGAUGUGUCUGUACCUGCCAUUUAAAUUGCAUUAUUUCAACUAAUAUGUAUCUAUAAAAAUAUCCCUAUUACUUGUAAAUGAGCUUUUUUAAAAGUACAUUUUGAAAUAAUACAUGGUCAAUGCAAGUUCCUUGGAAACUGCUACAGGGGA